CCAACUCCCCGGGUGUGACACCCGGGAGUUUCUGAUAUCCUCCCUGCACUUCCUGAAAAUCUGCCGUCUAAUUUAAGUUUCCUAAGAUUCUGCAAAGCAGACAGAAACCCUGGUGACUCCAGCGAUACCACAACUCUUAGGGGAAGAUGAGUCAUGUAUGUGGCAGAAGCAGGAUCAGCCAGCACCUGACUGCAAGUUUCCGCCUCCAGACACUCUGCUGCCUCUCCUCCCUGGCUCAGGGUCAGCACUGAAAAUCAGCCCAAGGAAACGACCAGCUGCCUUCUGGCCCUUAUCAAGGGUGGUGUGAACCCGCGCUAGCUACCCAGGGGUCUGGCCCGGAAGCGGCAGGGGGAGGGCUUUUUAGUCCUGUGUCUAGUCCAGUGGUCACCUCUGCACGGACAGCAGAUGGAGAAGGGGGCUCGGGGAAGGAGGAAAAGGUCAGGCAACCUCUCCAGGAUUCCUGGAAUAAACAUUCCUCCUCCCAAGCUCUUCAUUCUGUUUCACAAUCAAAUCCAGAGUCUUAUAAGCAUUCAUGGAAACCAUGAAAGCAAACAACUUGGUAAACGGUAGACAGAAACAGUAAAUAGAAUCUUCCCUCUACUUCCUGUGUAUCCAGAAUGUUUAGAGACAGGGAGUGGGGACUGACGACAGAUUGCAGCAUCUGGGAUCUGGGGCUAUGGCAGGAACGAGGACAUGUGGAAGGCUGGGAGUUGCCUGGGUCUUGGGAGUCUGGGGUUGAAGGUUACUCCUUCAUGGUUUCAGGGAAAGAGUGAAGACCACUGGCAAGAAGCCUGGUAACCACACAGACACACCCUGCAGGAAGCAGUUGACACCAUCUCACACCCUGACCUGUCCCCCAUGUCCUCCUCUGUGGGAUGCACAGGACUUCCAGGGGCCACCAAAGAAGUUGGGUCUAACCGGGGCCCUCACAGUACAGUGGCGAGUGUAGUGCGGUGGUAAAGACCAUGGACUCCAGCCGGGCGCGGGGGCUCACGCCUGUAAUCCCCACACUCUGGAAGGCCAAGGUGUGCAGAUCGCUUGAGUCCAAAAGUUCAAGACCAGCCUGGGCACAUGGUGAAACCCCGUCUCUACAAAAAAUACAAGCAUUAGCCGGGCAUGGUGGCGCACUGUAAUCUUGUAAUCCCAGCUACUCGGGAGGCUGAAGUGGGAGGAUUUCUGAAGUCGCAGGUUUCAGUGAGCCAAGAUAGUGCCACUGUACUCCAGCCUGGGUGACAGAGUGAGACCCUGUCUAAAAAAAAAAAAAAAAAAUUAGCCAGGCAUGCUGGCGUGCACCUGUAAUUCCAGCUACUCCAGAGGCUGAGGCAGGAGAAUCACUUGAGCGUGGGAGGCAGAGAUUUCAGUAAGCCAUGAUUGUGCCCCUGCACUCCAGCCUGGGCAACAGAGCGAGACCCUGUCUAAAAAAAUAAAAAAUAAAAAAAGCCCAUGGACUUUUUAGUUCAGAGUUCAGUUCCUCCGUCCACCAGAUGCAUGACUCCAGGCAAAUCACUUCUUUCUCUACAUACUUCAGCUUCCUCGUCCGUUAAAGGGGAUGAGUGUGUAACUUCCUAGGAUGUUUUAAGAUUUACAUGAGUUCAUCUUUGCAAAGCUUUUUGCAUGGCAC
rnacentral:lncRNA from 1 species